CAGAGUAUAGUUUAAAUAAAACAAAGACUUUGGGAGUCUUAGAUGGUUAAACCUAAUCUGA
rnacentral:tRNA from 1 species